AUUGAACGCUGGCGGCAGGCCUAACACAUGCAAGUCGAGCGAGAGGCGGACGGGUGAGUAAUGUCUGGGAAACUGCCUGAUGGAGGGGGAUAACUACUGGAAACGGUAGCUAAUACCGCAUACCAUCAGAUGUGCCCAGAUGUGAUGAGCUAGUCGGUGGGGUAAUGGCUAACCUAGGCGACGAUCCCUAGCUUGUCUGAGAGGAUGACCAGCCACACUGGAACUGGUCAACGGGCCAGACUCCUACGGGAGUCAGCAGUGGGGAAUAUUGCACAAUGGGCUAAAGCCGGAUGCAGCCAUGCCGCGUGUAUGAAGAAGGCCUUCGGGUUGUAAAGUACUUUCAGCGAGGAGGCGUUACUCGCAGAAGAAGCACCGGCUAACUCCGUGCCAGCCGCCGCGGUAAUAC
rnacentral:rRNA from 1 species